GUGAUUUCACAGCACACAUUCUAAAACUGAAAUAAUAUAGAGUGGAUGAGCACAGCCCGUGCAUAACCAUGACACAUAAACUCAGGAAAUGUUCUGUUCUUUA